AACAUGGUUCAACCUCAAUGUUUUAUAAAUCAUUUCCUAAUUUCAACAUCAGCCAAUGCACAGACAUUGCGUAAAAAUCCAAACAUUUGAUGUAAAACCCAGGCUUCUCUCCCCUUUCCAUCAUUGAACAUAAACUGCAAUGGUCUAACAGUGCAUGAUGAAUCUAUUUCACUUGACUGCCCAUUCAUCUUGUAGAAUACACAGACAAUUCACCCAUGGUGAAUGAGUGAUUGAAGAGUGAUCCGUUUCUUACCUUUGACUGUAGCGUUGGGAGAGUGUUCUGCUAUCUCUUGCUCUUCUCUGGUGUUCUGUCAAAUAUCUACACACUCACUGAGGUAUACCGUUGCCAACCAUCAACGCUGGAUCCUCUUGGGA